rnacentral:rRNA from 1 species
UUUCGCAAUGCCCGAAAGGGUGACGAAGCGACGCCGCGUGCGGGAAGAAGGCCUUCGGGUUGUAAACCGCUGUCGGGAGUUAAGAAAUGCAAGGGUGUUAAUAGUAUCCAUGCUUGACUAAGGACACGGAGGAAGCCACGGCUAACUCUGUGCCAGCAGCCGCGGUAAUACAGAGGCGGCAAGCGUUGUUCGGAAUUAUUGGGCGAAAAGAGCACGUAGGCCACUAUAUAAGUCGGUUGUGAAAGCCUUCCGCUCAACGGGAGAACAGCAUCCGAUACUGUGUGGCUUGAGUGUGGGAGGGGCAAGCGGAACUUCUGGUGGAGCGGUGAAAUGCGUAGAUAUCAGAAGGAACGCCGGCGGCGAAAGCGGCUCUCUGGCCCAUAACUGACGCUGAGUGUGCGAAAGCUAGGGGAGCAAAACGGAUUAGAUACCCCGGUAGUCCUAGCCGUAAACGAUGGGCACUAAGUAGAGGGGUAUU